rnacentral:rRNA from 1 species
CAAUAGCGUAUAUUAAAGUUGUUGCAGUUAAAAAGCUCGUAGUUGAAUUUCGGGUCCCCGCGCUCGGCGCUUCAUUGUACCGUCGUGGUGUCCCUCCUCGCCGUAAGGCGUCCUUUACUGUGAAAAAAUUAGAGUGUUCAAAGCAGGCAAUCGCUUGAAUACAUUAGCAUGGAAUAAUAAGAUAGGAUCUUGUCUAUUUUGUUGGUUGCGGACAACGAUAAUGAUUAAUAGGGAUAGUUGGGGGUGUCCGUAUUGAGCUGUCAGAGGUGAAAUUCUUGGAUUUGCUCAAGACGAACUACUGCGAAAGCAUUCACCAAGGAUGUUUUCAUUA